UUUCCCUCUUUCAUCUUCCAUCGAGCACCCACAUUGAAACGGCCCCUUAGAUUUCCUCCAUCGAUCUCCAUGUCCUGUCCUGUGAUGGACCCUUCAUAGAUGCACCUAAUCAAUCCUUCACUAGCCACCCAUUUUUACAUAGUUUGGAGCACCUCAUCAAUCCUUCAUAGAUGUACCUCAUCAAUCCUACUUUCAUGCCAUGUCUUGGAAAGAUAGCAAGGAUCCUUGGCCCUCGUGGUAUGAUGCCAAACCCCAAGCUUGGAUUUGUGACAAGUGAUGUUGCCGAUGCAGUGCAAGAGGCAAAACGUGGUCGUAUCGAUUUUAAAAUUGACAAAACUGCCAUCGUGCAUGUAGGCAUUGGG